CAGAACCAAACCUAGAUCUCUGGUGGGACCGUCUAACUUCAGAGUUUCACCAGUUGGAGACGUUUUUGGAGAGAGGAGCCUGGAUCAGAUGUGAAGCAGUUCAACAACCAAAGCUCAGAUCGUCUAACAGGAAGUGACGCCAUCUUUAAACCGCUGCUGAACAGGAACUAUUGACCCAGAACCCUAAACAGAACUGAACCCAGGAGCUGUUCAACAGGAUCAGACAAACAGCAUAAGCUAUCUGAACCGAUCCAUGUCGUUCUGAUCCAAACCAAACUGACCCGACCAGCAGAACAUCAGGUCCUUUCUUUGAGGAUGAUUAAUCUAACCGAUGUUAGAUUAAUGCCUGUCCUGUCAGUUGUCAUGGUAACCAAGAUAUUUAAACCUGCAGCAGUAACUGAUUUCUAACAGGUACUGGUUCUAGUCUUGGGUUCCGGGUCAUAGAACCAUCUGGACCAGGACGACCAGAUGCUCCCAGCUCCAUUAGAUUCACAUUCUCUGGAGCAGAACUCAGAGAUGGUGUUUUAUUCCUGGUCCUGAACUCCCAGCUGCCGGAUCG